UAUACAAUGGUCACCAUUCAGACAGAAAGGCAGUUGUUAGAGGGUGAAUGGCAGGAACACUGUGUCUGGUGCCUCUUCUCUUGCCUCUGUGUAUCAGUGUGACGGUGAACACAGAGGUGGCUCUGCAAAAGAGAAUCAUUGGAGGUGAUGAAUGUGAGCGACAGUAUCAUGUACAGCUCAGAGCAGUUUAUCCACAUGGACCUUCCAGCUUGUGUGGAGGCUCUUUGAUCAGUGACCGCUGGAUUCUGACUGCAGCUCACUGUCUGAAGCCAGGAGGGAUCAUGUUUGCAAAUCUAAGUGUGCAUCAAGGGGGUCCGGAGCAAGAAGUGCAGAUAACAGCAGAAGCUGAGAUCUAUACAGACAAAGACACCAGCACAGGCAGAGUUCAUGACAUCAUGCUGCUGCAGCUACCUAGCAGCUCUGAUGUCCAACCUAUAAAACUACCUGACUGUGAUGAACCUCCUAAAAGAGUUGAGAUCGCAGGUUAUGGUGCCAUCACCGGACUAGCUAAUGAGAAAAGAAAACCUGGUAAAUCACCCUCUCUUCACUGUGCAGAGACUGAGGUUGUCAGCUGUACAGAGCUCAAUGAUAUUUUACAGAAAAAAUUCCCCGAGGUCCACCGAGUCAAGAGCUAUCAACACUGGUUCUGUGGACAAAGUCCUGGGAAAGAUAUAUGCCGAGGAGACUCUGGUGGAGGAGUGGUUCAUAAUGGCAGGAUUUAUGGGGUCUCUUCUUUUGUGGGAGAUCCGGACUUUGUAUGCAGAGCACCGGCUGCCUUCAUGGACCUCUGUGAUCCUGAGUAUGCAGAUUGGAUCAGGAAAACUAUCAACCCAUAAAAAGCUGUAAGGUCUGCUGUGCACGACAUCUGUGAAUCUGAGUAAUUUGGUUCAGAUGAAGGAAUAAGACUGCUCAGAUGCUUUGGGUGUCACGUAAUGAUUCCUCAGGUUAAGGUGUCUUUGGUGCCCUAACUAACUGUCUGUGCACAUUGAACAGAAAUCCUGCCAUGACAGAACACACUAAUGCCUUUUCAAGGGAGAACCGAUCCUAAUCUGAGCUGUCAGCCCCAAGUUCUCUGCAGUCAUCAAAUCAAGCAUAAUCUGGUUUGAACAGGCUCCCUGCCUCACUGCAAAAGCCUUUUUACCAGCUGCUGUUUGACAAAUUGCAAAGCCUCUGAAGAGACUUUAGAAUCGGGAAAAAAGGAUACGAAGAAAGAGCUGUACAAAAAGCUAUCCAUGCACUCCUACUGUUUAACAUUUCACUUGGAGUUUAGUGACUGUAUUGUAUCUGUGGAUUGCAUUAUAGUUUCUCUGAGAGCUUUGCUCCCUGAAGAUUUUAUGACCUGUGAACGCUGAGUCUCUCUUGUGGCUGUAAACCAGUCUGCUCAGCAUGUCACUGCAUGGCAGAGUUUCUCUCCAUUUUUUUGAAUCACCUUUGCUCAGUUGUGCUCCUAACUGAUCUCCUGAGUUUGGCUGUAUUCCUGGACUUUGCCCUUUAGUUACUCUUCAGUCUCUUUAACACACGGGCUGCCAAAUUUGAAAUAACAUUUUUAGUUUUGGAAAAAGAAGAGCAUGUCUAGCAAAUUCUUGCACAUCCCUGUUCUUAAAUAGCACUUUUCUACUCAAGCAGUUUAUACACCUCAUUCACCCAUUCAUACAAGCACUUUUCUGUACCUAAGUUCUUUCUAUCUAACACUCAUACUCAGCAGUUUGGGGUUCAGUAUCGUGUCCAAGGAUACUUUGAGAUACAGACCGGAUCAGGCAGCGAUCGAACCUCCGACCUUCUGAUCGGUACUAAUUGGACGUUUGCUGCUGCACAUGUAGCAUCACAGCUUAGAAGAUGGUGGUGUGGAAAUGUGUUUCCCAUUAACAAUUGACUAAAAAACUCUUAGUCAAGGGUUAACGUCACCUAUGUCAGUAUUUUCACUGACUCUAAAAAGGCACUGAUCUUCUUUAGAUUAGAUCAACAAUGUGCCUUAAACCUGAGCUGUACAGGAAAAUAGAUUUCUGAUACACACAUGUACAUAAACAAAUAAAGAGAGAUGUUUCCCACCUGCUGAGAAGACAACUACUGUAUAACCUGAUUACCACCAUUAAUCUCAUAUCCACUGAUUUCUGGCACCUAUAAGUGAGAUUGAUUUCACUGUCCUGCUGUCUUGGCCUUUAGGAGAACACAGUGAGACAGAUGAAGCUUGCACCAGAUGGUAGAAACACAAUGAUCAUGGUCUUAGACACAGCAUCCACACUCUGCUCCGUACAUGAUAGUGUGUGUGUGGUGCUGUUUGCAGGAACUUGAUGAGACUUUGCUUAAGUGGAAAUCCACUGAUGUUCAAGCCCCAGGGAAGUGGGUGGGGGGAUAGGA